GAGGGGUAUAGUUCUUCGGAAUUAGAGACCGGCGCACGGGUGCGUAACGCGUAUGCAAUCUACCUUUCACAGAGGGAUAGCCCAGAGAAAUUUGGAUUAAUACCUCAUAGUAUAUAGAGUUGGCAUCAACAUUAUAUUAAAGUCACAACGGUGAAAGAUGAGCAUGCGUCCCAUUAGCUAGUUGGUAAGGUAACGGCUUACCAAGGCUACGAUGGGUAGGGGUCCUGAGAGGGAGAUCCCCCACACUGGUACUGAGACACGGACCAGACUCCUACGGGAGGCAGCAGUGAGGAAUAUUGGACAAUGGGCGCAAGCCUGAUCCAGCCAUGCCGCGUGCAGGAUGACGGUCCUAUGGAUUGUAAACUGCUUUUAUACGAGAAGAAACACCUCUACGUGUAGAGACUUGACGGUAUCGUAAGAAUAAGGAUCGGCUAACUCCGUGCCAGCAGCCGCGGUAAUACGGAGGAUCCAAGCGUUAUCCGGAAUCAUUGGGUUUAAAGGGUCCGUAGGCGGUCAGAUAAGUCAGUGGUGAAAGCCCAUCGCUCAACGGUGGAACGGCCAUUGAUACUGUCUGACUUGAAUUAUUAGGAAGUAACUAGAAUAUGUAGUGUAGCGGUGAAAUGCUUAGAGAUUACAUGGAAUACCAAUUGCGAAGGCAGGUUACUACUAAUAUAUUGACGCUGAUGGACGA
rnacentral:rRNA from 1 species